rnacentral:rRNA from 1 species
UACGGAGGGUGCAAACGUUGCUCGGAAUCAUUGGGCGUAAAGCGCACGUAGGCGGUUCGUUAUGUCGGAUGUGAAAUCCCUCGGCUCAACCGAGGAAGGGCAUCCGAAACUGGCGUGCUUGAGUACGGAAGAGGGUCUCGGAAUUCCCGGUGUAGAGGUGAAAUUCGUAGAUAUCGGGAGGAACACCGAAGGCGAAGGCAGUGUCCUGGCUGGUGACUGACGCUGAGGUGCGAAAGCUAGGGGAGCGAACGGG